UAGAACACAUAAUGCAUAAAGGAUUCUUUUAAGGAAAUGGUGUCUGAACUGGACAUUUGUGUGUAAUUUAUGUGUUUAUACACAUUUAUGUAAUUUUUAGUAUUUCUCAAAUACUGGUAUGUUUUAGUUUAAGUUAUGUAAAUUUAAGUCAUGAGCAUCAACUCUACAACUUUGUGUUAGUAUUUUAUGGAUUGCUUGAUUUUUAAUGUAAACAAAUAAUAGUAUAUUAAUUUGUAACAGCAAUAAAGAUAGUAUGGCUUCUUCUUAGAUUUCUUGCAGUAGAUCUAAUUAUCUCAAAGGACAUCAUAUCAAAAUACUAAUGGUGCCAUUAGCAUAGUAUAGAGGUUAGGAAUCUCUUACAUUGGAAACUUUUACUUUACAGUUGUCUGACCUGAGAACUGAGAUCAAGUGAUUAAGGAGCACUGGUGCCUCUCUGCAUUCUGUGAUCCAGUGUGGCCUCUCAAGCUGCCAGUCUGGUCUUUAAUAAGUUCAGUAAUUAAUAAUGUCAUCACAAGCAGAACAUGAAUACCUCUGUUUUGUCACCUGGAACACAAAUGGUAUAAAAGAGAAAUAAUUAAGAAGUUCCAGUCAACUGGAAAUGUUAUGAAUCAACCUGGAAGAGGACGUGUGUGUAUACUGUCUCAAUGUCCUGUGAAGAGGAUGGUUUGAGUGGCCAAAAAAUCUCCAUGGAUCACAGCUGGAGAAUUGCAGAAGUUAAUUGCGUCUUGGGGUCAGAAAGUCUCCAAAACUACAAAACGAAGUCACCAACAUCACCACAAACUCAAGUGUCUUCAGUUUGCCAGACACUAGUGGAACUUCUAAUGGGAUCGGGUUCUAUGGUGAUGAAACCAAAAUAGAGCUUUUUGGCAAUAAACAUCAGACGUGGUUUUGGCACAUACAGAGAGGUAGCCAUAUGGAAAAGUACCUCAUGUCCAUGGUUAAAUAUGGUGGUGGCUCUUUAAUGUUCUGGGGCUGUUUUUCUGUCAGAGGACCUGGACAUUUUAUUAGGAUACAUGACAUCAUGGACUCCAUCAAAUAUCAACAGAUAUUAAAUGAAAACCUGACUGUUUCUGCCAGAAAGCUUAAAAUGGGCCGUGGUUGGAUCUUCCAGCAGGACAAUGAUCCAAGCAUACAUCAAAAUCAACAUAAAAAUGGUUUACUGACCACAGAAUGGAUUCUGUAUAGAGGAAUGGUCUCAGAUCCCUUGCCAUGUAUUCUCCAACCUCAUAAGACGUUAAUCAUUUAGUUAAUGUGUCUAAUGAUUUGUAAAUGUAUUUACAUUUCCUGUCUAUGUUAACACAUAAUUAACUGAAAAGUGUACAUUUAUGUUUGGCUAAGUCUUUGCAUGACCUUACUUCUCUCCAAAUCAUAUGUAUGACACACAAACCCUUCUAGAGAGCUUUUUACAACAUCUAAUAUGACAGAACUUACAACAAAUGUAUUUCCUCUCU